GAUGAAGGACGUAGCGAAAUGCGAUAAGUAAUGUGAAUUGCAGAUUUCAGUGAAUCAUCGAAUCUUUGAACGCACCUUGCGCUCCUUGGUAUUCCGAGGAGCAUGCCUGUUUGAGUGUCAUUAAAUUCUCAACUCUCCAACUGUUGUCAUGACUGGUGGUAGAGCUUGGACGUGAGGGUUCUGCCGGCUCCUUGUUGAGUCUGGCUCCCUUGAAAAUGAUUAGCGCAGCUUUGCACUGUCCGCUUCAGGUGUGAUAAUUUAUCUACGCCCGACUAGCGACGCGCAUGAAUGGCUUUGUGCUUCUAACCGUCUCGAAAGAGACAAUACCUUUUGAACUUGACCUCAAAUCAGGUAGGACUACCCGCUGAACUUAAGCAUAUCAAUAAGCGGAGGA
rnacentral:misc_RNA from 1 species